GACCCUUCAGCAAAAGGCAUUGUAUACAAAGUAUUGAUUGCAAAGUUUAGUGGUGUUGAUAAUGCCAACAUACCUUUUCCCACCGCAACUUUCUGAGGACAGCACUGGUUGAAAUGCAGAAAAUUUGUUUCUUUGUAACCUCUCUCUCAUUUCUGUUUCCAGAUGGCUGGGCUGGAGUCACCAAUUAAAAACAAAGAAAACAUUACGAGAAUGAAAGAGAGGAAAAAGAAAGAUAUACAGAGCAGCAAUUAGAGAAGAGACAGCUGAAAUGGGUUCAUGAUGGUGGAGAUUCCUUCAUGUAUGAAGAAUGUGUCUAAGUUGGGAAAAAAGAAGCUGGAAAUUCAGAAGAGGUGAGAAAAUCUUCAAUAUCCAAAAACUGAAAAUCACAAAGUGGGAAAAUGUUGUUGUCAAAAACUGAAAAAAACCUAAAUCGGAUGUUUUUCAUAAAUAUAAGCUGAAACAGUUAACUUGGGAAAAAAUAUUUUGGCAAAACGCAUUUAUUUCAGAAGAACGAUAGUCACCAGCACUAAUACUUUUUUAUGAAACAAAAACUUUUGUUCACCAAAAAUGUUGUUCACCAAACAACUUUUGUUGUUUUUUAUGUUGUAUCCUAAUUAUUUUCCUAUUUUGUUAAAAAAAACAGAGAAGUUUGAGGACUUCAAACAACAGGCUUCUUCGUUUUGUGCUAAUUUUUAAUAUUGUUGACACUUCCACAGUACCAUUCAUUUCCAAGUGUCACCUCACAGACUCAUAUACAUGAGGUAUCUGUGGGUUGGAGGGCAGCAACUAACGGAGAUGCAGCAGAGUGUGCAAGAGUGCAGAAGAGAGCUUGGAAAAAAAUUAGCAAAGGAAACUUCAGCUCUUAGCAGUCACAUUGUGAGAUCUUUACUUUCCACAGAGACCAGCUAUGAGCUUGGUCCAUAAGGCCUCUUCUGAAAGAACCACACACAAUAAGUGUGUGUAUCAACAACAACUCAACUGUCAGAAGAUCAACAGCCCAUUGGAUUCUGCUGGGACCUGAAUUGGUGGUUCCAUGAAGUGUAUAUCAAACCUGCUGCUUGCAUUUGUAAACCAUCCUCUGUAGCUGACUUGUGUCUUGAGGAAAGCAGUGCUCUUCCUGCUCACAGAAUGACUUCCAUCAUACAGAGCAAGUGAGAGACUGUAUUUGUGGGGGUAGAAAUACAUCCAUAUUGCCCACAUAUCUGUAAAUGUAACAGGGGUCACUGUGGUUUUUUUUAAGUCUGGUCCCCAUUUGCUCAGGCUGCAUUGGUUCUGGCAAAGGCAAAGGAGAAUUUUGCUCCAUUCCAAGUGCUGGUGGUAUUUUUCCACAGUUGCUGCUUAUAGUGUUUAGUGUUUCAUUGACUGGAAAGUAUCCAGGGAAUGGAAAAGGAACUUUCUCUUCAUCCUCUGGAAGCAGGAAAUGCUUUAAGGGUGAGAAUAUCAAGGGCAUUUUAUGGUAGUGGCCUCUGUUUAAAGGUCAUACUCUAUCUGUCAGUCUACCCUCAGCGUUAAAAGCACUGAAAAGCAACUCCCAGCUCCUCAUCCGAAUUUGAAUAAGAUUUCACUCAUCUGCUGCCUAUUUCCUUCAUGCCUUCACCUAGUUUUACUCUGUCCAGGGGUCUGUCCACCUCAGCCUCAUGAAAAAGAAGUCUCAUGUGGUGUGUAGGGCAAAAAUCUUAUACUUCAUGCUCUGACCCUUUCAUCUCUAAGAAGUCUGUAUGCAACAACAGUGGUGGAGGGUCUCCAUUCCAGCCUAAUCCUGCCUGAGAACUGGGUUCAUGUUCAUAUAUUCUGGCUGUUGAGAUGGAAAGUGUGAAUUUUAUAGAAAAUUUAAUCUUCAGAGAAGGAGGAUAACAAGGAGGGGACAGGGGAAUGGCGGCGGGGGGAGUCACACUGGAGAAAGAGAGACUUGCAGACGGAUAUCCCAUUAUGUUCAGACCUCACAGUCUCUCCCUAUGCAUACGUGUCAAGUGUAAUGUGUGCUGGGUGUUAGGCAAAAUGCUUCAGACUUAGCCAAAAAAGAGGCCCCAGCAUGUCUUGCUGUGUUUAGCACUAAAGUCAGUAUGGGCCCUGGCUCCAAGCCAGUCACACUGGCAUUACUGUUAUUAGAUACCAUUGUGUUAGGCUUAGCGCUUUUUGCAGUCCAGAGAAAUUCCUUUUGUGUUUUCUUGCACUCUUUGUUCAUUUCAAAGCACUGAAAUGUCAAAAAGAAAAGGCAGACCUAAUAUAAACACUAUCCUCUUUUCUUGAAAAUGUGACUAGAAGAAAAGUCUUGGGUGGAGUAAAAUGAAGUCUGCCCCGUUGCACUUCUCAUGGAUUGAAGCUCAUUACAAUUAGGCUUAGAUUUAAAUUUUAUAAAUAACUUUAGAGAGUCAAGAUGUUCCCCACACUCUGUCUAAUUGCUUUUUGCAGAAGCACUAUUAGAUGGCUUACGAGGGUUGGACAAGAAAAGCGGAUAAUUAGAACUUCAGGGAGCUGCUCAGUGGUAGUGCCAGUUGGCUGUCCUUGACCUGUUUGUUACUGGAAAGUCAGUUUGGAUUCCAUUUUUUUUGUGGUGCUUCAGGAUUUUUUUCCUUUUAAAUGACAUGAUUUUAUAGCCUUGGAACAGCCAGAAAUAGUGGAAGAAAAAAAAACCAAAGCAUGUUCCAGCAUUCCUCAGUGAGGUGACCCUCCCCUGUCCUAGCCCAGAGCCCAGAACUCGUGUUCUCUCCAGUAUUGUGAACUCACUCCUUCAGCUACAUUCUGAGCUCUUGUAACAGUCUUUGCCAAGUCUUAAACCAGGGUCUUUCUGGUCAUCUGCACUACCAUAUUCUGAAUCCCGAAAAACCAUCGGUUUCUACUAAAGCCCUAGUUAAAAUGGGUGAAAAACUAAAUCUUAGAAACCAGUAACACAAUGCCAUUAUUAUUAUUAUUGUUUAUGAAGCAUCAUACUUCAGCAUAGCAACAAGAAAGGAGAGUAACUAUGAUAAUAACUAGGUAGACUAAUAUUGAUCCAGAGAAAGAUCCAAACUCUUCCUAUAACUUGUUGUACAUUAAUAUCGGGGGAAUCUUAUGCUCUGGUUCUGUGUGUGUAUCCGUGCACGCAUGGAUUGUAUGUGCAUCAAAGUAGCCUAGUAGCCAAGGCAGAGCCAAGGUCAUUCUGAGGCAUUCAGAUGUGAGCUUCUUUUAAAUUGGUGCAUUUAUUAUCCCCAAAACAGAUAGUUAUUCCUGGCUUGUGUGGGUUGUAUGGUUUAAACUCACUUUUCUCAUCUCCCUCUUCACUGUACCACCCACAUCUCCUGAAAUCCUCACUUCUGCCUUUCUUUCCUUUUGCUUUGACUGUUGCAACUAUUUUUUACGGUCUCGCCAUAUCCAUGCUCCCACAAGUCUGGCAUGUGCAAAACACUGCAACCCAUUUCCUGGAACAAGCAAAGAAGGAAUGGGGCCAUAUUCUAUUUUACCUAUCAGAGGCAUAAGUGGAUUUAGGUGCCUAAGUGUGAGUCUAUUUUUUUUAUUUUUUAUUUUUAUUUGAGGCCAAAUUAGCCAAAACUAAUUCCAAAUCCAAGAGUCCAGAACCAUAAAUGGCCCUUCUACUGACAAACAUCCUCCACUCACACCUGGGGCUUCAGAUGUUUUCAAAACCUUUGGCGGGCAUCCUACUUGCAGGCCCAAGCCUGCAGGCUGCAGGUUCGGAUGCCUCCGAGUUUUGCUUGCCCUUAGCCAUAAGGCCCUCAGACCAAGCAAGGGAAGUGUGAGUCUAUUCCACUUUGCUCAAAUCCCUGAAAAACAGGUAAUGCAAAAGGUCACAUUCCUUCUUGCUGCCUUUUUGUGACAGCCUUAAAAAUGAGAUGAUGUGUAUUUAAAAAGUAGAUUCAUUAAUGUAUAUUUAGGACUUGACUUGACUUAGAAUCACACUUGGGUGCCUAAGUCCACUUAGGCCCUCCAAAAUAGGUAGAACUGGAUUUGGUCUAUAGUGACACAAUCCCACUUCCAAACAAGUACAUUGGUUCUUCUGUCCAUUUUAGAGAGCUGUCCACUGACAUGCUCCUAUCUAUUUUAUGGACUUCCUGUUCUGCAUAAAUAUGGGCUGUAACUAUUUCAGACCCCUACCCUUUUAUUUGGGCCUGAUAAACCAUGAACACUCCUCCAUAAAUCGUUGUGGAUGAUUCCAGCCUAAUAAUCAGAACGCUGGCUCAGGAUAAAUGGGAGCAGGAGUCUCUGGCCUUUAGAUCAUUAGCUGGUGUUGACUGAAAGUCAAUUAGAGCUUGCUGAGCAGAGUCAAACUCGAUUAGCAAUCUGAUACUUAAAUUCAAUUUGUUCCUUUGUGUAUCUGGCUUCAGGAACAACUUCCAGGCAUUCACUAAACUUUUCACAAACCUUAGAACUUUUUAAAAUUUAACAUAAAUAAUAGAUUAUUCAUCCGAAAGCUUGCAAAACCCAUAAACAAACACAAAAAACCCUCUUUUAUUUCAGGUGUCUUUAAUUUGCCAGACAGUCAAGAAAUAGUCGAGAUAUUGAGCAGCUGUAUACUGUGAGUAGCAAAUCACUUCAAAUAGUUCAUAGAAAAUCCCUUGUCUGAAACUUGUUUCUCAUAUUCAUGAAGGGUCAAACUGUAUUUGCCUUAAACACUGUCACAGGGGAGUUAAUGAAUGUUACAGGUGGGUAAACUGAGAAAGGAGCAGCCUUUCCAGACCUACUACUGUCUGGGCUCAUCUACACAUUCAUUAAUACAACAUGAUUACAGUGCAUUAAGUUUAGUAUGGGUGCAUUUAAACGUGCAUUUAAGCAUGACUAAAUUUAAUGAGCAUUAAGCUAAUGUGCAUUAAGCAAUUUAUGGCAGGUGUCUACAUGUUCAGGGAGUUGGCACUGAAGUUAGUGGUCUUGGCACUGAAGUACAUGCCAUGUUUGUACACGCCACGAGAUUUCCCACUUAAGCAGCUGCAACUGUGUUUGUGUUUGCAUGAGCGGGAUUUCCCGCCACUUUAAAAGUCUUUUUGAAGCGUUACACUAAAGAUACUUGGACAUGUUUUAGUUUGCAUUGCCACCGCUUACAUCACCAUAUCUAUUCUGUAGUUCAGGCUUUUGGCCAGUAGGUGCCUCUGUUGUUUUAUUUUAUUUUUCUGCCAUCCCUCCCUCCCCCUGUUCCCACAGCUGGCCACAGGUAGUCAGGGCAUAGUGUGGGGGCACAGAAUAAUUAAUACAGGAAUAAAGAAAGAGAUGGAGGAGCAACCCAUAUUGCUAAGUAGUGUUACUGUUGUAUACAACCCUCUGCUAGGGGUGCCUGUAUCUCCACCAGAGGUACUGUAUGUGCUCCCCCCACCAUGCUCAGGUUUCCCCCACCAGCACCACCCCCAGCUAUGCCCACCACGGUGUUCAGAGUUGUGUUCAAAAUUAUGUUUGGAGUGUGGUACCCCGUAACACCUCAAUAUUUCAAACCUUCCUAUUUCUUAUAAUUGACAUUCCCAUUCCAGACCCACAACGAAUAGUGCCAGUGGAUGCUGCGUGGCAGACUCGCCUCCUCUCCCCCCCCCAAUAUGCAGCAUCCCAAGUGAUAUAUAGGUAACAUCACAAAUGUCUCUCUGACCUUGGGGGUAGGGGUCUUUAGGUGAUGUUGGGACUGUGGUCCAAAACCCCAUUCUUCUUUCUUCCACUCCCUGAAGAACACUUUCGAAAUCCAAAAUCGAAAACCAUCAUUAAGGAAAGCAUCAAUCCACAUCCAGUAGAAGCAAGCUUUUCUUGUUAAAUAGUGUAUAGUAUAUCUAUAUAGUGUUUUAUGGUGUGUAUAGUAUGCUGUAAAGUAGAGCUGUGUGAAAUUUUACCGGCUGUUUCAUUUGGACGCUGUUUCAACUCAUUUUGAGCUCAAAAUGGUGAAAUUGAAAUGAAACAAAGGGCUUCAAAAUAGUGUCAAAACAUUUAGAAUUUUGAAGCAGCCAGCCAGGUGGUGGGAGACAGAGAAGAGCCAGGGCUGCAACCCCAUGUGGCUCAGCCCAAUGGGGAGCACAACCAUGGCUCUCCCUGCCUCCUGCCAACAGACUGCACUCCAUGAGGCUGGCAGAGCUGAUCAAAGUGCAGCGGUGGCUUUGCCUGCCUCCUGGCACCAGGCUGCGCCCUGAUUGGCUCUGCCAGCCCCAUGGACAGAGCCGGCGCCUACCACCAGCAGGCUGCAAGACACUGGGAGCUGAGCCUGGCUGAGGGAAGUGCCUCCCACUGCUGGGCUGAGUUCCCAGUGGCUCCAGUGCUGGGGAACUCAGCCUGGCUGAGAGAAGUGUCUCCUCCAGCCAGGCUGAGUUCCCAGCUCCUUGCAGUACUGGAGAACUCAGCCGGGAUGCUAGAAGAGCCUCCUCCAGCUGGGCUGAGUUCCCCAGUGCUGCAAGGGGCUGGGAACUCAGCCCGACUGGGGGAGGAACUUCCCCCAGCCAGGCUCAGUUCCCCAGCACUGCAUCCCAUGCAGCAGGAGCAGCCACUUGUGAUCCGGUGGGCAGAUUGGGGACCCACCCGCACCCCUGGGAGAGCUUCAGAGGGCUCUUCUGGACUCCUCCCAGGGCUGUGGGCCCCCAAUCUGCCUUCUGGAUCCCAGGGUGCUGCUCCUGCUCCCCAGCUUCUACUGGUCAGCAGCCUCAUGUACAGUUUCCUAGAAACCCCUGCACUGAUCUCCCUGAAACUUGGCAAACUUCAUGCCCUUAGAAGGGGCUACUAUCUCUGAAAGUUUCAUCAGAAUGAGACAAGAAGUCACAAAGUUAUAAGCUGUUUCAUGCUUCUCCAUUAUAACCUAUGAGCAAAACCUCAAAACAGAGUUGAAACAGCAAAACUGUUUCAACCAAAGGGAACAGAACAAUGAUUUAGAAAUGAAACAAAACUCGAAAUGAAACACUGUUCUGUCAAAACAUUGAAGUGGAAGUUGAAGCCCUACUGUAAAGUUAUAGAGGUGCUGGAGAGGAAAAUCCCAACAUUGUUUUUGUACUUUUUUUCUAUUUUCCAAUUUUUCUAUUAAUUGAACAAUUUUUGAAAUGUUCUUUAAUUCACUUAUUAUCUAGAAUUUUUUUUAAAUGAUGCCUUUUUGAUAAAAUGAAUAAUGUAAAUGCACCUUACUUAUAAAAUAAAGAUUUGACAUUU